AUGGCCGCCACCCAGCCCAUCGCCAGCGCGGAGACCUCCCCGGCAGCACAGGCGAAGCGCCGCGGCCGGCCCCCCAAGGCCCCGCUGGCGGCCGAGGUCGAGGCGCCGAGGACCCCGUCGCCCGUGUCCCCGCUGACGGCCGCGGCGGAAGGCUACGAGAGGGAGCGGGAGGCGAGGAUCAAGGAGAACAUGGAGCGGAUGCAGAAGCUCGGCCUCGUCGACCUCGCCACCCGCUUCAACCAGUCCGCCACCCCCGCCGGCACCGGCACCGGUCGCGGCCGCUGGCGACGGAGGCCGGAGACGCCGGGCUCCCCCGACGCCGCCGCUCCCAGGAUCAGGACCGCCUCCCCGAUGCCGGCGCGCCGGUCCCUCAGGUUGAAGAGCGUGGAGCCAGUUAGAUAUGUUGAAAUUUGUGAAAAGAAGGAGAAGGGUCUUGAUGGUGGAAGGCCUUUCUCUAUUGAGGAAGGGUGCAAGGAAGAAGUCUACACUGAAGAGCAUGAGAAGCUUUUAGGUACAUGUGGCACACCCUGGACUCUCUUUGUGGACGGUUGUGGCAAGGACGGUAAGCGCAUCUAUGAUCAAGUGAGGGGCCAAACCUGUCAUCAGUGCCGCCAGAAAACUCUGGGUCAUCAUACAAGAUGCUGUAAUUGCCAGAUUGUCCAAGGGCAGUUCUGUGGAGAUUGUUUGUACAUGAGGUAUGGUGAGAAUGUGCUGGAAGCUAAGAGCAAUCCUAAUUGGACAUGUCCAGUUUGCCGUGGCAUUUGCAAUUGCAGCAUCUGCAGAACUAAGAGAGGAUGGUUCCCUACUGGCAAUGCGUACCGGAAGGUUGUCAGGCUUGGGUACAAAUCCGUGGCACACUAUCUCAUUGCAACAAAUAAGGCAGGAGCAAACUCAGGAGAUUCAAGCUCAGCUGACUCCUCAAACGAGCUGCCAUCUGCCGAUGAGGUCUCUGAGCACGCACCAGUUGCCAAGCAGGAUGCUGAUCUGAGCAGCAACGCUAUGAAUGAUGCUGGUGAAGUUGAGCAGAAGGAAGGAAACAUGAAGAAGAAGGCAGCUGUCAAGGAUGAAGCCAAGGCCCAGAGGAAGAAGAUCACUGCUGAUCUGAGCAGCAACGCGGUGAAUGAUGCUGGUGAAGUUGAGCAGAAGGAAGGAAACAUGAAGAAGAAGAAGGCAGCAGCUGUCAAGGAUGAAGCCAAGGCCCCAAGGAAGAAGAUCACUGCUGAUGUGGUCUGCAAGGAUGAUGGCAGGAGCGAGUCCGGGGUGACAUUUGAUUCUCUGGAAUGUCACCAGGAUGUCGGCUGCGUCACUCCAUCCAAGCCGGAGCCGAAGAAGAAGAGGAAGUGGGUCGAAGCAAGAAGCCCCGACUGCGUCGCGAGCAGGCUGCGCUCCCGGUCUGCUCCCAAGUCAUGA
rnacentral:rRNA from 1 species